rnacentral:rRNA from 1 species
AGGGGGACAACAACUGGAAACGGUUGCUAAUACCCCAUAUGCUUUCGAGUGAAACGGUUUUUCCGCCUAAAGAGAAGCUUGCGGCUGAUUAGCUUGUUGGUGAGGUAAUGGCUCACCAAGGCGACGAUCAGUAGCUGGUCUGAGAGGACGAUCAGCCACACUGGGACUGAGACACGGCCCAGACUCCUACGGGAGGCAGCAGUGGGGAAUUUUCCGCAAUGGGCGAAAGCCUGACGGAGCAAUACCGCGUGAGGGAGGAAGGCUCUUGGGUUGUAAACCUCUUUUCUUAGGGAAGAAGCUCUGACGGUACCUAAGGAAUAAGCAUCGGCUAACUCCGUGCCAGCAGCCGCGGUAAUACGGAGGAUGCAAGCGUUAUCCGGAAUCAUUGGGCGUAAAGCGUACGUAGGUGGCAGUUCAAGUCUGCUGUUAAAGGCUGGGGCUUAAACCCAGACAGGCAGUGGAAACUGAACAGCUAGAGUGUGGUA